CAGUCUCUCUCGCUCAACUCUCUCAGAUCUCAGUCUCCCUAACGAUUGAAGCCCCAAAUCGAUCGUAGCGGGAUAAUUGAGAAGUAGGAAUUUAAUGGAGGAGCCAACAUUUUUCAAUAGAAUGAUCACUCAACUUCGCACAACCUGCAAGAGGAUGAUGACGAGUAGGAAUUGGCAAUGAAGAUAGCAUAUUCAUUUAGGCUGUGACAAUGUUUAGACA